UACGGAGGGGACUAGCGUUGUUCGGAAUUACUGGGCGUAAAGCGCACGUAGGCGGAUUCGUAAGUCAGGGGUGAAAUCCCGAGGCUCAACCUCGGAACUGCCUUUGAUACUGCGAAUCUCGAGUCCGGAAGAGGUGAGUGGAAUUCCUAGUGUAGAGGUGAAAUUCGUAGAUAUUAGGAAGAACACCAGUGGCGAAGGCGACUUUCUGGACUGUAACUGACGCUGAGGCGCGAAAGCGUGGGGAGCAAACAGG
rnacentral:rRNA from 1 species